AGAGUUUGAUCCUGGCUCAGGACGAACGCUGGCGGCGUGCCUAAUACAUGCAAGUCGAGCGGACCAAAGGGAGCUUGCUCCCAGAGGUUAGCGGCGGACGGGUGAGUAACACGUGGGCAACCUGCCCUGUAGACUGGGAUAACAUCGAGAAAUCGGUGCUAAUACCGGAUAAUAGAUGGAACUGCAUAGUUCCAUUUUAAAAGAUGGUUCUGCUAUCACUACAGGAUGGGCCCGCGGUGCAUUAGCUAGUUGGUAAGGUAACGGCUUACCAAGGCGACGAUGCAUAGCCGACCUGAGAGGGUGAUCGGCCACACUGGGACUGAGACACGGCCCAGACUCCUACGGGAGGCAGCAGUAGGGAAUCUUCCGCAAUGGACGAAAGUCUGACGGAGCAACGCCGCGUGAGUGAUGAAGGGUUUCGGCUCGUAAAGCUCUGUUGUUAGGGAAGAACAAGUGCCUGAGUAACUGCAGGCACCUUGACGGUACCUAACCAGAAAGCCACGGCUAACUACGUGCCAGCAGCCGCGGUAAUACGUAGGUGGCAAGCGUUGUCCGGAAUUAUUGGGCGUAAAGCGCGCGCAGGCGGUCUCUUAAGUCUGAUGUGAAAGCCCCCGGCUCAACCGGGGAGGGCCAUUGGAAACUGGGAGACUUGAGUACAGAAAAGGAGAGUGGAAUUCCACGUGUAGCGGUUGAAAAUGCGUAAUAUUGUNGGAGGAAACACCAGUGGCGAAAGGCGAAUCUCUNUGGGUCUUGUUAACUUGACGUGAAGGCCCGAAAAGGCGUGGGGGNACCAAAACCAGGAAUUAGAUAACCCUUGGUAGUUCCAACGCCGGUAAACGAUGAGUUGCUAGUUGUUAAGGGGUUUUCGAUGCCCCUUAGGUGCCGAAGUUAACACAAUUAAGCACUCCGCCUGGGGAGUACGACCGCAAGGUUGAAACUCAAAGGAAUUGACGGGGGCCCGCACAAGUAGUGGAGCAUGUGGUUUAAUUCGAAGCAACGCGAAGAACCUUACCAGGUCUUGACAUCCCCAUGACCUCUCUAGAGAUAGAGAUUUCCCUUCGGGGACAUGGGUGACAGGUGGUGCAUGGUUGUCGUCAGCUCGUGUCGUGAGAUGUUGGGUUAAGCCCCGCAACGAGCGCAACCCUUGAUCUUAGUUGCCAGCAUUUAGUUGGGCACUCUAAGGUGACUGCCGGUGACAAACCGGAGGAAGGUGGGGAUGACGUCAAAUCAUCAUGCCCCUUAUGACCUGGGCUACACACGUGCUACAAUGGAUGGUACAAAGAGCAGCGANCCCGCGAGGUCGAGCCAAUCUCAUAAAGCCAUUCUCAGUUCGGAUUGUAGGCUGCAACUCGCCUACAUGAAGCCGGAAUUGCUAGUAAUCGCGGAUCAGCAUGCCGCGGUGAAUACGUUCCCGGGCCUUGUACACACCGCCCGUCACACCACGAGAGUUUGUAACACCCGAAGUCGGUGGAGUAACCCUUACGGGAGCUAGCCGCCUAAGGUGGGACAGAUGAUUGGGGUGAAGUCGUAACAAGGUAGCCGUAUCGGAAGGUGCGGCUGGAUCACCUCC
rnacentral:rRNA from 1 species